UCUAGGAAAGAUCAUGGGAAGGAAGAUCGGGAGGCGAAGUGGAUACUUUCUCAAAGAAGUCUACAAGGAUCGAUGUCUCCAGAAUUGGAGACUAAUGGGAAGCGAUCAUCUUUGAUUGCUGAACAGGCCAGGCGGCGUGCUGAAAUAGCCAGGUUAGGGGAGAUACAUACUCUGAGAGGUCAUGUAGAGUCUGUAGUAAGGCUUAAAAAGUUGGACUUGGAUUUGAUCCAAUCGGCUCAUACAGUCUGAUGCGAUAAUGGAGAUUUAAUAUGGUUCAGUUUUUCAAUGAAGGCAAACAUGGUAGCCGUUGCUCACAUGAUUAAUUGUUGAGUGUAAUAAGCAAAAGAAAACAACAUUUAUCAUGCGAGAGGUUUUAGAAAUGGCCAGGGUGAUCUAUGCGUCGUUCUCAAUUUUUGGGCUCGAGAGGUCAGCAUUACAUCUCAGAAGAGGUCUUUGAGCUAAAUAAAUCAUGCCAUUUCUUAGUAUGAUUGCAAUUUUUUUCGAUAAAGAAAGGAUUUUCUGUCUUCAGCUUUGGAUAUUCUUAUUUUUAUUUGUGGAGCUUUAAUGUAAUAGUUAGGCAACUCCCAGACAAAUAAGGCUACUCAGAUACAUUUUUUCAAUCAGAAUUUAUUUAUCUCAUAUGGUUUGGAGGAAAUAGUUUCCUGUAAUAAGAUCGUUGUUGCUUGUGCA